rfam:Salmo salar isolate Sally breed double haploid chromosome ssa03, whole genome shotgun sequence.
AUGUGGAACAUUUGUAAGUCGCUCUGGAUAAGAGCGUCUGCUAAAUGACUUAAA